rnacentral:ncRNA from 1 species
GUAUUGUAUGAAAGGAGAGAACACCAGGAUUUUCCUUAAUAAGGAUGAAAGGGGUCCUAGAGUCUUUAUAACACCUAUGAUUUUCUGUGGCAUCCAAACAUGGUUUUGG